UACGUAGGGUGCAAGCGUUGUCCGGAAUUAUUGGGCGUAAAGAGCUCGUAGGCGGUCUGUCGCGUCGGAUGUGAAAAUCCAGGGCUCAACCCUGGACCUGCAUUCGAUACGGGCAGACUAGAGUUCGGUAGGGGAGACUGGAAUUCCUGGUGUAGCGGUGAAAUGCGCAGAUAUCAGGAGGAACACCGGUGGCGAAGGCGGGUCUCUGGGCCGAAACUGACGCUGAGGCACGAAAGCGUGGGGAUCAAACAGG
rnacentral:rRNA from 1 species